rnacentral:tRNA from 1 species
GGAGCAUGGCUUAGUGGCGGAGCAUCUGCUUAUCAUGCAAAAUGUCCUAAAUUCAAUCCCUGGCAUCUCCA